UUGACAGAGUUUUCUGGCAUCAUGAAAUAAUCUUUUUUUUGGUGGUUUCUCAACCGUUAGCCAGAAACAAGUGCUUCACCUUUUUUGUGUGGGCACUCCACACGAAUUGAACACUGGGCCCUCCCUUUUAAAGGUGCUUACCUAAGAUGAGCUUUGUGAGUGGAAUGCAAAGAGCCAUCGAAAGGAAUCUCAAUCGCAUUAGAGCAGAUAAGCAGUUAUCAGAUGGUUGGACUGAUCGGCUGGUUAAGUAUUUUCCUAAGGAAGCCAAGCUCCAUAGUGCCUUCGGAGCGGCUUCCCCAACUAACCGGGUGUGGCCUGCUAACUUUUGCUUUCAUUUUUUUUAUACUCAUAUUUUUUUUCUAUCAGCCGCAGCCAAGGCAGGUUUUAACUUUACAAAAUUAAAGGGCUGGGAGGUGUCCCUAUUCUGUUGCCCACCAAGGCAAUCCCUAAAUCGCUGAGUGUGAUCCCUGCUGUAAACACGGGCUCAUCUGUUUUCUAGAGUGAGGGUUUGGGACAGAGUGAGGUUAUUUGCGGAGGUUUCUUCCAAGAUACAAUCUGCCAUUUCUCAAAGUAAAAUUCCAAGGCAGAUUGCGAGCCACGGCUGAUGGGCGCCCCCGAAGUGAGAAUUCUUGUGGACUUAAAUCAAACAACAAGUCACAACCGCCCCGAAGGCAUACUCAUCAUUUUUCAUCAACUUUUUUUUUUUUUCCUUUCCGGCGAAAGACAUUCUCAGAAUUUGAAAAAGCCUAUUCACUGGACCAGUCGUAAUAUUCAUCAUAAUUAUAAAAACGACAGGGUUUUAAAAGCCAGAUGCCAGCCCAGUGAGAAAGCGCUUGCUAGGACUUGGGGCGGGAGGAGCCGGGGAGAUUUCACGUCUGCAAAGGAAGGGUAACGGGCAGGGAGAUCCUGACUCCAAUUAUAAAGCAAAGACAAAAUCCCUCGAAUCCUUUCAAUUCAUCCAUCUUCUCCGGCCAAAUUGUGUUCUUUCUCCUCCCCGCCCCCUCUCACAUUUCCAUAAACAAUAUGACUACGGGCUGAGCCCCUCGGCCAGCAAAUAAAGGCGCAGGGCUAAGUAAAUUUGCUUCCCAGCAAUUAUUUUUGUGAGGUCACGGAGUUAAGCAUUAAAAGAAAACUGCUGCGACCGAGGGUAUUCAGUAACUGUAUGAUUUGUGCUGCAAAACUGACAAAAGAACUCAGCCCCCCUUUUACUUUAUACCCACAGAAAUCAUUGACCACGGGCCUUUGUUCCCUAAAUUCACCUAAGAGGAAUCUUUCACUCGAACGCCCCUGCAUGGCCGCUAAUCCCCGCCUGCCGCCGCUUCCCAAGGAAAGUCCAUUUGAUCUGAGUCUACGCCUGCAAAUUAUCAGGAUAAUUACGAUCUUUUUUUAAAAAAUGAAAGGAAAAAUAUAAAGAAAACUCCACCAAGAUCUUUAGUAUCCAGAGCAGGAAUUAGCAAACUCUUCCUGAAAAGGGGCAGAGAGUGAGUAUUUUCAUCUUUCUGGGCCUCACGUAGGGGACUGCUCAGCUCCGUGCUGUGGAAUGAAAGCAGACAAGGACAUCACUUAGUAAGUGGUAGUGACAGCUGGGUUCCAAUAGAACUCUCUUUAUAGACACCGAAACCUGAAUGUAUGUAACUUGCACGUGUCAUAAAAACAAUACUCUUUC